UUUUUGUUUUUUUUUUUUUGAGACAGAGUAACCCAGGCUGGACGGAGUGCAGUGGUGGUGCGAUCUCGGCUCACUGCAAACUCUGCCUCCCGGGUUCAUGCCAUUCUCCUGCCUCAGCUUCCCAAGUAGCUGGGAUUACAGGUGCCUGCCACCACGCCUGGCUAAUUUUUUUUCGUAUUUUUAGUAGAGAUGGGGUUUCACUGUGUUAGUCAGGAUGGUCUCGAUCUUCUGACCUUGGGUUCCACCCACCUUGGCCUCCCAAAGUGCUGGGAUUACAGGCAUGAGCCACCGCGCACGGCCUCAUGCACCUUUUUAUGUUGAUCAGUCAUAUGAGAAAAGGGUCUGAACUGUGAUCUUCAUUGGGAUUCAGAUGUCAGAGAGUGGCCUUGAAAGAGGAACAAUUUUAAUUAGGAACAAAGAAGGCCUAGAAAGAGGGUAUAUAUAAUCGUAAACAGAUGGCAAAAUCUAAUUGCUAUGGUUUGAAUGCCUCCCCCGGUUUCAUGUGUUGGAAACUUUAUCCCCAGUGUGGCAAUACUGAGAGGUUUGGGCCUUAAAAGAUGAAUGGAUCGUGAGGGCAGAGCCAUUGUUCAUGGAUGAAUGGAUUAAUGGGUUAGUGGAUUAAAGGGUUAUCAUGGAAGGGGAACUGGUGGCUUUAUGAGAAGAGGAAAAGAGGCCUGAGCUAGCAUCUUAGCAUGCUAAGCUCCCUUGCAAUGUGAUACCCUGUGCCACCUUAGGACUGUGCAGAGUCUCCACAAGCAAGAAGACCCUCACCAGAUGUGGCUCCUUGACUAUCUCAAGAUCCGUAACUGUAAGAUAUGAACUCCUUUUCUUUAUAAAUUACCCAGUUUCAGGUAUUCUGUUAUAAGCAACAGAAAAUGCACUAGUACAAUCAUAAUGCUGUUUUGUUUUCAAAGAGGGGCACAUCUUAUUUUUUUAAAUAUUUUUUUACUGCGCAAAAUCUGCUACAAGAACAUUCUAUUUAAGUAAUCUUUUUUGUUUACCUUCCCUCCUCUGUCUUUUUCUACUCCUUGCAGCUUCACCUGCACCCUAGGUAACCAGUGCUAAUAACUUGGUAUGUGUACCUUCAUACCUUUUCUUCAUGCUCAUAUAAUCAUAUGUUGCAUUUGGCUCCCCAUAAUAGCGACUCAACACAGGCUUAAUCACUUUAGAGUUUAUUCUUGUAUGUAGGCAUCCAGGGCUGCUAUGGUGGUUACACAAAGUGAUCAGGGAGCCAGCUUCCUUCAAACUGUGUGCCUGGCAGUCUUUCACAUUGUCAUAUCUUCAAAGUCAAACAAUGACUAUAAAAGCACCAGCC
rnacentral:lncRNA from 1 species